rnacentral:tRNA from 1 species
GCGAGGAUGGCACAGUCGGUUAGUGCGUGCAAGAGGUCCUGAGUUCGAUUCCCGGAUCUCACA